rnacentral:lncRNA from 1 species
AGCACUUUCAAGCAGUCCUAGAUUUUAAACAAACCUUAUUAACUUUAUUGCAAAGAAGCGCUUUUGGUUGGUUAGCCAAAAGCACUUCUUUUGGCUAACCAGCCAAAAGCUCAGCAUUACACUUUCUUCUUUUUCUUUGAUGAAGAAAAAGAAGAAAGUGUAUGGUCUUCUUUGCACCUCUAACACAAAUUUAAUAUCAGAAUCCCAACUACACAGUUGAAUCUCUCUACUUUCCAAGUCUAUGAAACAUUUGUUUCUAUUGGUUGAUUACUUCCUUUGCAUCUUGCUGGAUCAUUUUUUAUGUGCAUGCUGAUUGGCCAAGGUUUGAUUUUUUCAUCUCCUUUUGCAUGGCUAUGUAAGCUAAUUUGAAUAACUGCACAGGAAAGACUAGCCCAUGGUAUAUUGUAUAUGUAAAUCCAUGCAGCAUUGCUUUCUUACACUUUGCUUUGCAUCACAUGCAGUGUGUCACAACCUUUACUAUAGCCAUGGUCCUAGGCUUGUGUGUGCUACACUAGAUUGUUUCCUUUGUUUUUUCCUCAAUAUUACUCAGUGUGUUUUAAUCGUUCCUGCUAGAGCUCUGAUCUCUGCUUUUUUUAUAUUGAAAAGAUUCUUUAGACAUGCCAGUAUUAGGAAAAGAAUGUAAGCUUCUUUUUUAUGUAUUCCUGUUACAUAAUCUUGUUUUCUAUUUUUAUUGUAAAAUCAAGAUAGUUGAUUUAUUCUUGAUUAUUUCUUUUAAGGUUUAGC